rnacentral:rRNA from 1 species
GUCUACGGCCAUACUACCUUGAACAAGCCCGAUCUCGUCUGAUCUCAAGAGCUAAGCAGGGUUCAGCCUGGUAGUACCUGGAUGGGAGAUCACCUAGGAAGACCAGGUGCUGUAGGCA